UUAAAAUUGUUAACGACAUAUUCAUUUCAAUAUUUUUUUUAAUUAUUUUUAUAAAAAAAAGGCGGCGCACGGCACCAAAGACGAUUUGAGCAGAUAGACUAAUGUUUAUGUUUUGUAUUUGUUUCAUUUAGGAUGACUAAAUUAUGUACAUCGUUAUGUUUAUAAACAUUGGUUAGUAAGAAUGAGUGAGAUAGUUGUAUGAAUGGAUUGAGAAGAAAAAUAUAUAGAAUUAAAAACUUAGUAUUGUAGUAAAUUUGGGAUUCUUAAGCCUAAGAGUGCGUUCAGAGCAGCAACUCAAAGAGGCAGUAUUGCGUGGAAUUCUUGAUUGGUCGAAUUAAGUAAAAACUCGAGUUAGGUGAAUUUUGAAAAGUUUAAGCUAUAGAGUUCAAUGAUCAUGGAAAGAGGGGAUUUGCAGAUAAUUUAUUAACUCCUAAGCAGUUAAAACGAUCAAACGUUCGGAUAACGUAAUCUUGUCCGAACGACUAUUUUAUUCGAAACAAAGAAACACUUUAUUUUCUUUGUCGGUAGUACUUACGAAUUUUUUAGUCGAAAGUCUUAUACUCACGUAUAGUUUCUUUUAUAAAAAGUUAAAAUUUUCCUUGGGAAAAAUCUUGAAAGUUUAACAAAAAUUGCACAUAAGCAGUUUUAAAUAAAAUUCUUGUAUAAAGGAUGAGAAGGGUGAUGGCUUGAGAGAAAAAGAAGGCAUUCAAAGGAGUUGCUCUAGCAAGGGAGUCAACUAAGGAAGGGAGGGUAGAGGCGAUGUAUCGCUCAUCAUCAACACCUAGAAGCAGAGUCUGGUAAUAUUUUUUUUGUAGCGAUAUUGAAGGGUCCAAGAACCACACCCACCGCUGAGCUGAGUGUUCAAUAGAUUGCCAGCCAGGACCAAGAAAAGGCAAACAGGUCGUUACAAAAUUACUGGCAAAAGAGAGCUGGAACAAAAACAUAUUCAAGAAUUGCAUGCAAUAGAGGCGGAAUACACCCAGAAGUUGGUUGCAUCAAUGCUAAAAAGGCUUAAUGAAGUCAUAAGAAUAUGCCAUAAGUUAUAAAAAACAUAAAUUUUAUUAUUUUUUUCAAAUAACUAUCAAAUAAAGAGUUGUACGAAUACGAAUGUGUUGCUUGCAUUCGACAUGAACUGUAAUUUAAAGUUUGUUUUUAUUAUUACCAUUCAAAAAAAAUUUUUUGUUAUGCUUUUUAAGAUGUUAUAUGUUAACUAAACCAAAUAAAUUUAAUUUUUCAAUUCAAGUUACUUAUUGCACUUUUUGGUCUACAAUUUAUUUAAAAAGGCGAGGUGUACGAAUAUGACUGAGACUGACUGUAAGUCUUAAUUGGUCUUACAAAAACACACACACCAAGGAAUACAUCGUUGAGACAAUAAUUUACAAUUGCUCAAUUGCUGCGUGAUCGUACAGGAAUAAGUGAUGGCCUUUGUACUUGGUGUUGUAGAACAUUCUUCUUUCUAUUUUUUUAAUUUUUGCGAACCAUUCUUUAGUUGAUUGGCAACAAUUGCUUGGAAAAAAGAUUGCACAAAAUAAAAUCAUUAAGCAAAACCAAAUGUAAUUAACAUAAAAAACCCUCCAACUUUUAAACUAUUCUUGACUUUUGAGUGCUUAAUUUUCCAAAGCCAUUUAUUCUUUGUUAAUUUUUUGGAUCGACAAAUUUUGUUGACAAAUAAUCUAGGGAUAUCUUGUUUUUUUUUUUUAAUAAUUAGAGCACAACCAAAUUUGUCGACAAGCGAAAAGUUAAAAAAAGUUUACUUUUUGCUUAUGAACAAAGUUUUUGUUCUGGAUAAGAAAAACUUAAAAUGGGCAUCGAAGCAUUAAAUAUGAAUGUUAUUAAAUUUGGGUGGAUGGCCAGUUCAAGACGAGGCUAUAUUGAAAUGUCCACUUUUCUGCAAGGUAUGAAAAUAAUUUAUCAUCUGAUAUAAUAAGCAUAUUUUUCUCCAGCGUCGAAAAAGUUAUCGGGCCGAUGAAUUUAUAAUACAUCACAAUGGAAAGUUAUUAAAAUAAGUAAGCGAAUUUGUAAUUUAAAACUACAUAUCUUUAUUUCACGAAAGUUCAUUUUAAUCCAAGCUUCUUACUUCGAACCUUUU